rnacentral:lncRNA from 1 species
AUGCCGCAAACCUGGCCCCCAAAGGGGGUCCCGCUGUCCGAAGCCCCAGUCUCAGGCCGCCUGGGGGGCGGCCCCUGCCUGGGUACCGGCGCUAAGUGCUCGCCCUGCUCUGGACCGCGCUGCAGCCUCCGCAUCUGGGAGGCACUCGGCGGCGGGCGGGGGCCGGACCGCGGGGGCCGCUCUGCGCCUCGGAACCGGGCCCGGUUCGGGCCUCAGCAGCGCCCCAGCGCACCGCGCUCCUCCCCUCUCCUCCCCAAUCCCACCUCGGGUCCCGCGCCCUUAGAGGAAGUCGGUGGCUCGGCCCAGUCGCCAGCAGGGGGAUCGGCCCCUUCUCGCUGCGGUGCACCCGACUCGGGCUGUUCUGGGCACCGCCACGUCCUCUCGGUGGGCGCCGGUCGCCUCCUCCCGGGGCUGACCCCACGGGCCUCCGGGCCACCAGGCCACUCUUCCUUAAGCCUCGCCAGCUUGUGGGCGGCGGCCUGGGCGCGAUGUGUCACAGAGCUGUCCCCGCAGAGCGCCUCUCGGGGCGGCAGGCCGGUCCCCGCGCUGCCCCCGGCGUCUCCGCGGCUGGGCCUCCGCCGAGCCGGCUGCGGUCCACGUGGCUCCGGAGGAAGCCCCGAGCGAGCCGAGAGCCGAGCGGCGCUCGGGUGGGAGGGGGCCGGCGGGGCGGAGAGCCGCGGCGCCGGGGGCGGGCGCGGGGCNNNNNNNNNNNNNNNNNNNNAGGGGAGGGCCUGCGCGGCGGAGGCGCCCGCCCCGCUCCGGCGCGCCCCGGCUGCCGGCCCCGGGCGGCCUGGGAAGGCGGCUCCUCCCCGGCCGGCCCACCUCCCCCGCCCGUUACACCCGGGGGAAGGUGUUCCCGAGGCCGCUCCCAUCCUCACCCCGCCUCCCCGCUUCCCCGGCUCCAGCCUCCGCCGGCGGAGCUCCACUAUGCCAGACAGUUUCGACACUUUGCAAAGACAAAGACCAGAGGGAGGAGGAAGAGGAGGACGAGGAGGAAGAGGAGGAGGAGAGAGCGAAGGAAGAGGUUAUGUGAGCUGGGAAGAAGGCGAGGGUUCGGGAUACCCUCCUUGGAUUCCCCUCCUGACCCCCUCCUCCCCAAGCCCCGGAAACUCCAGCGUGUCCCCGGCCGCGGGAAUUUUGGGGAGGACGCCCAGCCCUCAUGGAGCCUUCGAUGCCCCGCGAGAACAUCCUUUUUUUAUAGCCCGAGGCUGCGAUGGAGCAGAGCCUGCAGGAAGAGCUGUCUCCACUGCAGGGGGCUUGUGUUUCUGCUGA